CUCUUUGCUUCACUUCUUACCGUCUCACUCUCGCUUCUCAGCAUCUCCUUCUCGCUUCUCACCGUCUCACUCUCGCUUCUCAGCGUCUCCCUCUCGCUUCUCACUGUCUCACUCUUGCGCUGUUUCAAAGCUUCAGUCAUGGCUUCUCCUAUCUCUCCCACAUAGCUUCAAUGGUUGCUUCUCUUCAAUUUCAAUUUUAGGGUUUGUUUUUUUUGUUCAUACUUCACAUAUUCAUAUUGGUAUUAGUUAGGCUUUGAGGCAUUGGUUGGAUUUGUGUUCCUUUACAACUUGAUGUUCGCUUUGCUCUCAAAUUAGUUGGCCUGUGCAGCAUUUGAUAAGUCACACGCAACAAUAACUGAAGAAGAA